rnacentral:rRNA from 1 species
AAAUUGAAGAGUUUGAUCAUGGCUCAGAUUGAACGCUGGCGGCAGGCCUAACACAUGCAAGUCGAACGGUAACAGGAAACAGCUUGCUGUUUCGCUGACGAGUGGCGGACGGGUGAGUAAUGUCUGGGAAACUGCCUGAUGGAGGGGGAUAACUACUGGAAACGGUAGCUAAUACCGCAUAACGUCGCAAGACCAAAGAGGGGGACCUUCGGGCCUCUUGCCAUCAGAUGUGCCCAGAUGGGAUUAGCUUGUUGGUGGGGUAACGGCUCACCAAGGCGACGAUCUCUAGCUGGUCUGAGAGGAUGACCAGCCACACUGGAACUGAGACACGGUCCAGACUCCUACGGGAGGCAGCAGUGGGGAAUAUUGCACAAUGGGCGCAAGCCUGAUGCAGCCAUGCCGCGUGUAUGAAGAAGGCCUUCGGGUUGUAAAGUACUUUCAGCGGGGAGGAAGGGAGUAAAGUUAAUACCUUUGCUCAUUGACGUUACCCGCAGAAGAAGCACCGGCUAACUCCGUGCCAGCAGCCGCGGUAAUACGGAGGGUGCAAGCGUUAAUCGGAAUUACUGGGCGUAAAGCGCACGCAGGCGGUUUGUUAAGUCAGAUGUGAAAUCCCCGGGCUCAACCUGGGAACUGCAUCUGAUACUGGCAAGCUUGAGUCUCGUAGAGGGGGGUAGAAUUCCAGGUGUAGCGGUGAAAUGCGUAGAGAUCUGGAGGAAUACCGGUGGCGAAGGCGGCCCCCUGGACGAAGACUGACGCUCAGGUGCGAAAGCGUGGGGAGCAAACAGGAUUAGAUACCCUGGUAGUCCACGCCGUAAACGAUGUCGACUUGGAGGUUGUGCCCUUGAGGCGUGGCUUCCGGAGCUAACGCGUUAAGUCGACCGCCUGGGGAGUACGGCCGCAAGGUUAAAACUCAAAUGAAUUGACGGGGGCCCGCACAAGCGGUGGAGCAUGUGGUUUAAUUCGAUGCAACGCGAAGAACCUUACCUGGUCUUGACAUCCACGGAAGUUUUCAGAGAUGAGAAUGUGCCUUCGGGAACCGUGAGACAGGUGCUGCAUGGCUGUCGUCAGCUCGUGUUGUGAAAUGUUGGGUUAAGUCCCGCAACGAGCGCAACCCUUAUCCUUUGUUGCCAGCGGUCCGGCCGGGAACUCAAAGGAGACUGCCAGUGAUAAACUGGAGGAAGGUGGGGAUGACGUCAAGUCAUCAUGGCCCUUACGACCAGGGCUACACACGUGCUACAAUGGCGCAUACAAAGAGAAGCGACCUCGCGAGAGCAAGCGGACCUCAUAAAGUGCGUCGUAGUCCGGAUUGGAGUCUGCAACUCGACUCCAUGAAGUCGGAAUCGCUAGUAAUCGUGGAUCAGAAUGCCACGGUGAAUACGUUCCCGGGCCUUGUACACACCGCCCGUCACACCAUGGGAGUGGGUUGCAAAAGAAGUAGGUAGCUUAACCUUCGGGAGGGCGCUUACCACUUUGUGAUUCAUGACUGGGGUGAAGUCGUAACAAGGUAACCGUAGGGGAACCUGCGGUUGGAUCACCUCCUUACCUUAAAGAAGC